AGAGUUUGAUCCUGGCUCAGGAUGAACGCUGGCGGCGUGGAUAAGGCAUGCAAGUCGAACGCAUUUAGUUGCGUGGCAAACGGGUUAGUAACGCGUAGGAACGUACCCUCGAGUCGUGGAUAAUCUGGAGAAAUCCAGGAUAAUACACGAUGUACUCUCCGGAGUAAAGAUUUAUCGCUUGAGGAGCGGCCUGCGUCCCAUCAGCUUGUUGGUAAGGUAAUGGCUUACCAAGGCUAUGACGGGUAGGGGGUGUGAGAGCAUGAUCCCCAACAUUGGAACUGAGACACUGUCCAAACUCCUACGGGAGGCUGCAGUCGAGAAUAUUCCGCAAUGGGCGAAAGCCUGACGGAGCGACGCCGCGUGCAAGAUGAAGGCCCUAGGGUCGUAAAUUGCUUUUCUUUGGGAAGAACUUAUAUGACGGUACCAAAGGAAUAAGAGGUUACUAACUCUGUGCCAGCAGUAGCGGUAAUACAGAGACCUCAAGCGUUAUCCGGAUUUAUUGGGCGUAAAGCGCGCGUAGGCGGGUCUAUUAGUCGUGGGUCAAAUUUCGGAGCUCAACUCCGAAACUGCUCACGAAACGGUAGAUCUUGAGAUAGUGAGGGAUUGCUGGAACUCAUGGUGUAGUAGUGAAAUGCGUUGAUAUCAUGAGGAACACCGAAGGCGAAGGCAGGCAAUUGGCACUUAUCUGACGCUGAUGUGCGAAAGCGUGGGUAGCGAAUGGGAUUAGAUACCCCAGUAGUCCACGCCGUAAACGAUGCAUACUCGGCAUAUGGAGAUUCGACCCUCUGUGUGCCUUAGCUAACGCGUUAAGUAUGCCGCCUGGGAAGUACGAGCGCAAGCUUAAAACUCAAAGGAAUAGACGGGGAUCCGCACAAGUGGUGGAGCAUGUGGUUCAAUUCGACAACAAGCGGGAAACCUCACCAGGACUAGAAACUUAGCUGCAAGCUCUAGAAAUAGAGCCGCCUUCGAGGGUGCUAAGCAGGUGCUGCAUGGUUGUCGUCAGCUCGUGCCGUAAGGUGUUCCCUUAAGUGGGGAAACGAGCGCAACCCUUGUCGCGUGUUAUAUAUGUCACGUGAGACUGCCUUUGUAAAGAAGGAGGAAGGAGAGGAUGACGUCAAAUCAGCAUGGCCCUUGAUGUCCUGGGCGACACACGUGCUACAAUGGUCGGUAUAGAGGGUUGCCAAAUCGCGAGAUGGAGCUAAUCCCAAAAAACCGGCCCAAGUUCGGAUUGGAGUCUGCAACUCGACUCCAUGAAGUUGGAAUCACUAGUAAUCGCGAAUCAGAAUGUCGCGGUGAAUACGUUCUCGGAUCUUGUACUCACCGCCCGUCACGUCAAGAGAGCCGAUAACACCCGAAGCUCCUGCGUUAAAACAGGAAUUACGGUGGGAUUGGUAAUAGGGACGAAGUCGUAACAAGGCA
rnacentral:rRNA from 1 species